AUUGAACGCUGGCGGCAGGCCUAACACAUGCAAGUCGAGCGGAUGAAGGGAGCUUGCUCCUGGAUUCAGCGGCGGACGGGUGAGUAAUGCCUAGGAAUCUGCCUGGUAGUGGGGGAUAACGUCCGGAAACGGGCGCUAAUACCGCAUACGUCCUGAGGGAGAAAGUGGGGGAUCUUUGGACCUCACGCUAUCUGAUGAGCCUAGGUCGGAUUAGCUAGUUGGUGAGGUAAAGGCCUACCAAGGCGACGAUCCGUAACUGGUCUGAGAGGAUGAUCAGUCACACUGGAACUGAGACACGGUCCAGACUCCUACGGGAGGCAGCAGUGGGGAAUAUUGGACAAUGGGCGAAAGCCUGAUCCAGCCAUGCCGCGUGUGUGAAGAAGGUCUUCGGAUUGUAAAGCACUUUAAGUUGGGAGGAAGGGCAGUAAGUUAAUACCUUGCUGUUUUGACGUUACCAACAGAAUAAGCACCGGCUAACUUCGUG
rnacentral:rRNA from 1 species